rnacentral:lncRNA from 1 species
UUUAUUUUUAUUUAUGAGUUGUUGGCUAAGUUAUGAUCAUAUUGGAUUUAGGUGAUUGACGGUCUUCCUUGGUGAGCGGUUUUGGUGUGUUUUGUGAAAUUGAAGACGCAGCGGGAUUAGAGCGGGUAAUCUUGCAGGUUAGGAGAAUCAGGGCGGUGAUCGUGCGGGUUAGAGUAAUUGUUAUAGUUUUACAGUGAUUGUAAUAGUGAGGUGAGUGAUGCUCAAUUUGAGCUUUACAUAUUUACUUUGUAUAAGUGAGUUUUGAUUUUUCAUGUUUCGGAUUUUGAAUUAGUUAUUCAAAAUUCGGGGCGU